rnacentral:tRNA from 1 species
GUGGGUGUAGCUCAGUUGGUAGAGUCCCGGAUUGUGAUUCCGGUUGUCGUCGGUUCGAGUCCGACCUCCCACCCCA